UACGUAGGGUGCGAGCGUUAAUCGGAAUUACUGGGCGUAAAGCGUGCGCAGGCGGACUUUUAAGCCAGACGUGAAAGCCCCGGGCUUAACCUGGGAAUGGCGUUUGGGACUGGGAGUCUGGAGUACGGCAGAGGAGACUGGAAUUCCUGGUGUAGCAGUGAAAUGCGUAGAUAUCAGGAGGAACACCGAUGGCGAAGGCAGGUCUCUGGGCUGAUACUGACGCUCAUGCACGAAAGCGUGGGGAGCAAACAGG
rnacentral:rRNA from 1 species